GCCCACCACCAGCGGGCGUUGACGGAGGCGGGUGUGCGGCUCUGGCGCAGCUGAGCCGUCGACCGCCGGAGCCAAUCCGGCAGUCCGGCAUUUCAGCUGCCGCACACUCGCCCGUCACAGGAUCAGAGGCCUCCCGAGACAGCCAUCACGAUCAGCUGGUGUAGGCCAUCCACGACAGAUGAGUGCUAUACAAGCCUGCCUCCGCCGUGCUUGGAGAGCUGACUCACCCAACGGCCGUUUGUGCCGCCACCAAUCGGCUGCGAGUAGCACACACCGAGUGCUACUCGGGGCCGGAUGGCCGCCGUGUCUUCCCUCAGGACAUGGUGGGCUCUGCACUACCUGAGGGGUCUCGGGCGAUAACAGAGACGCAGUCCGAUGUGGCAGCCUCC